rnacentral:tmRNA from 1 species
GGGGGCGACGUGGCUUCGACGUGGGUGGCGAAACCUUCUGGUGCAUGUCGAGGCGCAGAUCACCUCGUUAAUACAGCUGCAAACCAUAUAGUUGCCAACGACGACAACUACGCAUUAGCUGCUUAAUACCAGCGUAAUGCCCUCUGACCGGGACUCGCCUGUAGGUUUCGGAUUCCAGGGGUCGACUCAUACGGGAUCGCGCGACAGUACGCCUUGAACUGAAGCGUUAAAACUUAAAGGCUCGUUUUCCAGAAUCCUGAACGAUUGGAGUCUGGUUAAUAAAAUUAAAAAAUCGUUCUACACAUGUAGAGCCUAAGGCAGAGUGCUUGCGGACGGGAGUUCGAUUCUCCCCGCCUCCACCA